UGGCCCAGUGACUGACAGAUCUGUGAUGG
rnacentral:piRNA from 1 species